rnacentral:lncRNA from 1 species
AUUUAAAUUUGCAAAAUAGUUGCCACGGUUUAAUUAAUGUUAAGCAAUUGUUUAUAUUUGAAGUUUAAACUGGAAAACAAUGAUAUUUGUAAUAUUUGUAUUCGACAUUUGUCCUCACAUCUCCGUCUGUGCUCGACUUUUGACAAAAUUAAGACAUAAAUCUGAAUUAAAUAGAAAAAAAAAUGAGAUAGACUAUGGGUAUCUAAUUACUUCGAACUCAAGACCUACUAUUUUAAUGUUAAGCUGAAUAUUAUGAAAUAAUAAUUAUUGUUCACGAAAAGUUUAAGCUGACAAAUAACGAUAAUUUUACUAUUUAUUUUCAAUUGAGACAACUCUAUA